rnacentral:rRNA from 1 species
AUUGAACGCUGGCGGCAGGCCUAACACAUGCAAGUCGAACGAGUGGCGGACGGGUGUGUAAUGUCUGGGAAACUGCCUGAUGGAGGGGGAUAACUACUGGAAACGGUAGCUAUUACCGCAUACCAUCGGAUGUGCCCAGAUGGGAUUGGCUAGUAGGUGGGGUAAAGGUUCACCUAGGCGACGAUCCCUAGCUGGUCUGCGAGGAUGACCGGCCACAUGGGAAAUGAGAAACGGUCCAGAGUCCUACGGGAGGCAGCAGUGGGGAAUAUUGCACAUUGUGCGAAAGCCUGAUGCAGCAAUGCCGCGUGUAUGAAGAAGGCCUUCGGGUUGUAAAGUACUUUCAGCGGGGAGGCGUUACCCGCAGAAGAAGCACCGGCUAACUACGUGCCAGCAGCCGCGGUAAUAC